rnacentral:lncRNA from 1 species
AUAUAUUUUUUAUUGCAGUUUAAAGUUUUUAGGUUUUUUUAUCUGUCUUUGAACACUACGAAAUGUCGCCGCCAUGCUAAUUACGUCAUUACGGUAGUAAACAAAAGUGUCAGCUGUCAGUGUCAACUUGGUACUACAAACGUGUAAACUGGCUUAAUUUUAUUUCACAUUCUUAAAAAAUAACUAUAAUAAUUCAACAUCAUGGAAGUGGGUUACGUUAAAGGUGACUCCACAAAUUUACCAAGAAUAAACUCUCUGAUGGUUGGUAAAUUUUUUGCUGUAAAUCCCGACUUCUGUUCCGCUGAGUUACGGAAUGUUAAAACAUCCAUAUCCGGAAGGAAGACUUAUGGCGAUGACGCUAUAGGUUACGUACAGCUGAAGAGGGAACAAAAUGUUUGCACUGUAAAAUGUACAGUUUGCCCUGAACACAAAGUACGAAGUAAGCCGUAUGCAGCUACACUCGUAGUGGAUGAACAGGAAGAAGUGGUGAUAAGUGUUAAAUGUCAUGAUUGUCCUGCAUCAGCAGGUGGUGUAAGCAUGCAGUUGCAUUUUUGAUGUGGUUGCACCGCCGAAGUGAAGACCCUUCCUGCACGUCUGUAGAAUGUUAUUGGAAGAAGUCCAAUCUUGCCAAAGUUGGAACAUCAAUUAAAAUAUUAAGUGCAAGAGAAAUGGCAAAACGGAAACCAAAAGUAUUUGCACCAGACAGCGGGUUGAUGAAUGAGUUUAUCAAAGAAUGUAAGACUAAGAAAAAUAAAUAAUUGUCAGUUUGUUAAGCAUGAACCUGACUAUUGUGAUACAGAUACUAAUCUAUCAUUACAUUAUCUGAUGAUGACAUAUAAUGAUGAGAAUUAUGAUAGAUUUCUGUCAAAAAUCUUAAAAGAAUUCAGCAAGACAAAUAUAAAACAUGCAGAAAGAAAUACUAGAGGUCAGAAUACCAGUUAGGUACUUGUGGCAUGAACUCCGAUAUGGAAGGAUAACGGCUUCUAAGUGUUAUGAAGUUAGUCGUUGUAAAACAACUGAUGGAAACUUGGUUGCUGUCAUUCUUGGUGCGAAGACUCCAGAAACAUCGGCUAUAAUUAGAGGAAGAAAAUUAGAAGACUCAAGUGAGAAAAGUUGUUGAGAAGAAAUUGGGAAUCAAAAUUCAAAUGUGUGGUUUGUACAUAUCGGAGACAUUCCCAAUGAUAGCUGCAUCACCAGAUGGAAGAAAUGAAAAUACAACAUUCGAAAUCAAGUGCCCUGUUAGUGCCAAAACGUCAGAAAAUUAUAUUGACAAGGAAGCAGAAUAAAAGAAAAGUAUUUUGCCCAGGUGCAAAUACAAAUGUAUUGUGCUCACGCCACUGAAAGUUAUUUUUGUGUUGCCAAUAGUGACUUUGAGAAAAACAAUGAAGUUGCACUUUUAAAGUUGAAUUUGACCAAGAGUCUGUUAUGAGUCUUUUAGACAGUGUUGUUGCUUUUUGGAAAAAUAAUAUUUUUCCAGUUUUGUCCAAAAGUGUGAUAACAAAUUCUAUAUAGAAUAAAAUAAAAUGAUAAUAAAUUAAAA